AUGAAUUUGGACAACAUUGAUGCACUGAACUCGUCCGGAACUGAUGAUAAGAAUGGUAAUGAGAAUCGUGAGGAUUUGGAUAGUAGAGCUAGUGGAACGAAGACUAAUGGAGGGGAAAGCAGUGAAAAUGAGGCAGAAAGCAGUGUGAAUGAAAGUGGGAGUAGUUUGCCAAGAGGAUUGAGUUCUUCAACCGAGAAGAGGGAGGGGAUCAAAAGGACUGCUGGAGGGGAUAUCGCUUCAACCACCAGACACUACAGAAGUGUUUCAAUGGAUAGUUUCAUGGGCAAGUUGAACUUUGGAGAUGAGUCUCCAAAGCUGCCACCAUCACCAGGAACUCGACCAGGACAACUAUCACCUAGUAAUUCAUUGGAUGGGAAUGCCUUUAGUUUGGAAUUUGGAAAUGGCGAGUUUAGUGGUGCUGAGAUUAAGAAAAUUAUGGCAAAUGAGAAACUUGCUGAGAUUGCAGUAACGGAUCCAAAGCGUGCAAAAAGGAUUUUGGCAAAUCGUCAAUCAGCUGCCCGUUCCAAAGAAAGGAAGAUGAGAUAUAUUUCAGAAUUGGAGCACAAGGUUCAGACUCUCCAGACAGAAGCUACCACACUGUCUGCUCAGCUUACUCUUUUACAGAGAGAUUCUGUUGGGCUUACCAACCAGAAUAAUGAAUUGAAGUUUCGUCUACAAGCCAUGGAGCAACAGGCACAACUCCGAGAUGGUAUAGACAUUUUUUUCCCUCCAUUCUUACUUCAAUAGACAAUAUUAUUCCAUUCAUUUAUAAUAUUGUGGCAUAUGAAAGCCAUAUUUGCAUGCCAAAUGAAGUCAUUGAUUUUGAGUCCUCAUGUCUAGUCUCAGUGUCUCACCCAACCAAUGAUAGACCAACAGCUUGAAUUUAUAAUUUGGAAAAUGUAACUGUUCAAAUUGAGAAUUUCUCAACAUGAUACCUUGAUAGACAACCAGUUGCUGAAUAUCUUAAAGCAUGGACAUACACAAUUUAGGAACUUAAAAAUUGUGAGCACAUUAUUGCUGCAUUACCAUGUCUAAGUUUUCACUGAGACCUUUUUUAGCAAAUUAUUGUGCAAUCACUAUGAAGAUGGAAGAGAAUUUUAAAAUGUGAUCUUGGACGUCUGAUGGCCUGAUUGCAACACAAAAUAGCGGCAUCAAUUUCAGCAUGUUCAUCAUGUCACACAGUAGUUGGAAAUAGUAGAGUGACAACUCCUCUUUCUUAUACCUAUUGGUGCAAAAACUUGAUUCUUGUCUCUUUUCUAAAGAAGAAGAUAGAAGUUGGUUUAACCUGGAAUGCAGCUGGUUUAUGAUUUCCCUGUAGCCCAUACCAGCAUAAUAAUAGUGAUGGGAAAAUUGAUUAGUGACGGGGAACAAAACUCACCUCUCUCCUGAUCUCUCAUUUGUCCGGCAAUAAGAACGCUCAAAAUACUGACAUGAAGGUGUUUCUGAAAUGUAAUCAGAGCAUUUCACAACCUGUUAUUGCACAGUGAUUAGUUCAAAGAUUCAACAUCAGGUCACUUUUGUACUAUAUUAAUAUGCUACUAGAUGAGUCAUUAGUAUUGUAUGGCACAUGCAAUUUACUUGAGAUUUCCUUUGUAUUGUGUGUUUCUGUCUUUAUUCUAGUGAGUUAGGUUGAAGUGGUGAAAAAACAGUGUGAAAGGGUUUCUUUUGAAGUGUUUUUUGUACAACUAUUCUGUCAGUAGUUAUUUGUGCGAAUAUCGAGUGCUUGGUAGAUUCAUACUCAAUUGUGUUGAAUUGAGACAGCUCUAAAUGAAGCAUUGACUGCUGAGGUUCGACGAUUAAAGAUUGCUACUGCAGAGAUCAGUGGGGAUUCUGACCCAACCAAGGGCAUGGUUCAGCAGCUUUCCAUCAACGCCCAGAUGUUCCAGCUGCAGCAACAGCAACAAUCACCCUCCCCAAUGAACAUGCAUCAAUUGCAGCCGCAGCCGCAGCCACAACAACAAAAUGGAAACGCAUCUUCAAAUUCAGAGUCCAAUCAAUUAUAGGAUAUGAAGGAUAAGAUGGCUACUGUUGCUUUUUAUUUGUCUUACAAUUUCUGGUGCUUUGUAUUUGUUUUGUUCAGUGCAUUCAUUCAUUAGUUUUCAAGCUCCUAGUCAUUACCCAUCCAACUCGGAACACCAUUUUAAAGUGAUAUACAGGCCUUAUACAUAUGUUGUUUAUGAUCAUAGCUUUUAUUUAUCUGUGUUAGAUAUAUAAAUCAUAAUGAGAACAUUUCUUAGACCUGAUGUUUUGUUGAGAUGCCAGAAUGGUUGAGAACUGGAACUCAUUUGUUUUAUUUCAGUGAAAGAAUUGCUUGUGGAUUUGUUUACCAUGGGACUGGCUGCUUUGAUUAGUUCAUUG
rnacentral:misc_RNA from 1 species